rnacentral:lncRNA from 1 species
GGGGGAAUGUGCGUCUGGCAGAAUCUUACUUCUGAAGUUUCAUGCCGAAAUGAGAGGCCAAAGGAAUGUAAAUAUCUACCAUACCAAGCACCAAGCACGAGAGCAUGAUGAAUUACUUUUAUGUGAUAAUAUUAUGCUAUAAAGUAAUCAGCAUGCUUUAAAGUUCCCUCAGGACUGAGAGUGUAGCUUAGUGGUAGAGCACUUGCACAGCAUGUGUGUGGCCCUGGGCUGGAUCCCCAAAACCACAAAAAGUAGAAAAUAAAGUGCUCUCUCCUUUUGGUAACUUUAAUAUUAUCAGAGAAAGGAACAUCAUAUCUUAUAAUCAUGGAUCCAAAAGCUCAAAGGGAUCAUGUAACUUGUCCAGAUCAAAGAACAAAUCAGUUGUACAGCUAGUUUGAAACACACUGCUCUGGAUAUUCCUUGUUCAGGAAUUUCCCCUACCAUGAUGUUAUCUUCUGGGUGGGCCUUCCAGUUCUGAUUGUAAAAUGUUUUUAAUGCAGAGAAAGCAUUCGAAGAAAAGGGAUUGCUAUAAGAAAUGGAAAGCCUCCCUAAAAGUGAUAGAGGAGUCCCCAACUGGAAAUGUAAAAAACCUUCCCUAGAUGACCUGAACUGGUUUCACCAAACCUUCUGAGAAUUUUUCAGUAUAUUGAAGACUCUUCUUUUAUCCUUAAGAGAUUUCAUAGGAUCCAGUGGCCUUCUGCAGAACUUUUAAGAAAUAGGGGUGAUUACCUUUAAGAAAUAGGGGUGAAGGCCCACAAAGACAUUGGUAAGAAGUAGGGGAAGACAAAAGAAAGGAAAUUACAUCACAGGAUAGUAAGCCAGCAGAAAUUGGUACUGAGUUCAGUGCCUGAUCUCACCAGAAUGGAGUCACUCUCCAGAUGACCAGUCUUGGCAUAUCUUGAAGACUUUCUGAUAAGAAUCUGCCAUAACUGGAGGCAAGUAGAAAGUCUAGCCUUGGGGCUGAGUAUCUCAUUGUUUUCCUGGAUUUUCUUUUUCUUAGCAAGCAGGUAACUUGCUGGAUCCUUUGUUGGCCGAGUCUUUAGAGAUGCUUAUAUUUAAGGUUGAAAUGUGUUUUAGUAUGAGUCACUGAGUUCUUGCUUGUGCAAAGCACUACACUGGUUGCUAUGGGAGAAUACAAAAAUAUAAGACAGACCCUGACCUUAAGAAAAUCCCAUCUAAUUUAGGAGACAUGAGCCAUAUAGAAUAAAAUUAUAUAAGUAUGGUUGCAAUGGAAUUUGUAAGCAAUUUUUUUCUUUCUUUUUUUUUUAAAUCACCCAGUUCUCCGUUCAGAUGCAGCUUCUCAGAACUAGACCUCCCUGGCUACCCUUUUAAAAAUAACCCCCAUACCCAUCACUUUUGGGGCUUAUUUUGCCAUAGGGUUUUGUUUGUUUAUUUGUUUGUUUGCUGUGCUAGGGAUCAAAAGGCCUCACACUUCUUAGGCAAGUGCUCUACCACUACACUAUAUCUCCAGCCCAUGUUGUACAGUCUUGAUGAUACAGUAGAUCAAAGUAAGCUUGGCCUGAAGAGGCCUCCGUGAAUUGAGUCCUUAGGUAAAAAAAUAACUGCAACUUAAGUAAGUAUGUAAACAAACUGGGAAUUUGCCUUUGUAAUGGAAAGCUGAGUGUCAGCCAAUCACAGCAGCUGAGUUUCAGUCAAUCAUAGGCAGCCAGCUGUUGAACCUUGUUCAAAUAAGGCCAAUGCCAAGUUUGUGACCAAUCUAGCUGUACCUCACUUUUGUUUUCUGUAUGUCACUUCCAUUUCUUUAGUUGUAAAUAUC